UUAUACAAUAAAUGCUAGUUAAUAUUUUUGGUUUAAUUGUAGUUAUUUUAAUAAUUUUGAUUUUUAAUUUUAUAUUUUUUAGGUGAAAUUAUAAAUUAUUUCUAAUUUUUUGGGUUAAAUGUUCUUCGAAAUUCAGAGUAUAAACUAGGAUUAGAUACCCUAUUAUUUUGUAUGUUAAUUUUAGCCUGGGUAGUAUUAGUUAUUUUCUUCAAACCUAAAGAGUUUGGCGGUACCUUAUUCUUUUUAGAGGAAUCUGUCCUAUGAUCGAUAAUCCUCGUUUUAUCUUUCUUUAAUUUGUUUUCAGUUUGUAUACCGCCGUUAUAAGUUUAUGUUAUAAGAUUAUAAAUUUACUUUAUAUUAUAUUUUAUUUUAUUUCA
rnacentral:rRNA from 1 species